UACGGGGGGGGGCAAGCGUUGUUCGGAAUUACUGGGCGUAAAGGGCUUGUAGGCGGCCAACUAAGUCAAACGUGAAAUCCCUCGGCUUAACCGGGGAACUGCGCUUGAUACUGGAUGGCUUGAGAUUGGGAGAGGGAUGCGGAAUUCCAGGUGUAGCGGUGAAAUGCGUAGAUAUCUGGAGGAACACCGGUGGCGAAGGCGGCAUCCUGGACCAACACUGACGCUGAGGCGCGAAAAGCGUGGGGGAGCAAACAGG
rnacentral:rRNA from 1 species